AACGCGUGGAUAAUCUACCCUGAAGAUCGGGAUAACAGUUGGAAACGACUGCUAAUACCGGAUAUCCUGCAUAUUUAACUUUAUGUGGUAAAGGCGGCCUCUAUUUAUAAGCUGCCGCUUUGGGAUGAGUCCGCGUCUCAUUAGCUUGUUGGUGGGGUAAUGGCCUACCAAGGCUACG
rnacentral:rRNA from 1 species